UGAUACAAAAACACUACAAGCAUACACUCUGUUUCUAAGAGGAUGUUGCAAUGCCAUGGAAGAUGUCAACAACAUGCAAGAGCUCAACAUGUCUGCUAACCUGCUAAUUAUAAUUAAGAAGCUGCCAUAUCGACUGAGGGAUAAAUGGAGAUCUGUGGCAUGUGAUUUUCAGGAAAGGUACAACCAAAGAGCUACCUUCAGGGAUCUGGUAAAUUACCUUGAAAAACAGGUGAGGAUUGCAACUGAUCCAGUAUUUGGAGACAUCAGAGACACUCCCACACCAAGCAAGGAUGGAAGAGGUUUUAUGUCAAAACCACCUCAUCCAAAAAUCAAAGGAAGUACAUUUGCAACCACUGUGACAGUUGCACAUGAGAAAAAUAGAAAUGGACCUAGGAAAAUGGAGAGUUGGCCGGCUGUAAAAAGGUGUUUGUUCUGUGGAGGUGGACAUGCUUUGGAGGUGUGUUUCCUAUUGGAAAAGAAAGCACAUCAUGAGAAAAUCACUUUCCUUAAAGAAAAUGGAGCCUGCUUUGGUUGUCUGCAGAAAGGACACAUGAGCAAGGACUGCAGGAAGCGACUCAGCUGCAACAUAUGCAAUUUGAAGCAUCCUCAGAUGCUGCAUAUCCACCAAAGAAGAUUUGAAAUGAGCAAACAUCAAGCUCAAACAAAGGAAGAAGCUGACAUCAGAGCCAUAGCCUCGGUACAGACAAGUGGUCUUACUGGGGCCGGUGAAGACAAUUGCAAACUCUCCAUAGUGCCUGUGAAAGUAAAGGCCAAGAAGGGGAAUACAAUAGUGCAUACAUAUGCAUUCCUUGACCCGGGAAGCACUGCGUCAUUUUGCACAUUGGGGCUAAUGAAUAAGCUCAAUCUCCAGGGAAGAAAAUCAAAUAUUCUUCUGAGAACAAUGGGUCAAAGGAAGGUCGUUGAAACCAGCAUUGUUUCAGGCCUAGAGGUUACAGUACUUCAUGGCACUGAUUUCUGUGAUCUCCCAUGUGUGUACACUCAGAAGACUAUGCCUGUGCACAAAGGGAACAUCCCACAUCAAAAUGACAUCAAUCAGUGGCAUCAUUUAAAGAAUAUUCACUUACCUGAACUGGACUGUGAGAUUGAGUUGCUGAUUGGCUCUGAUGUACCAAAGGCUCUGGAACCACUUCAAGUCAUCAGGAGUGUGGGAGAUGGACCAUAUGCCGUCAAAACAAUGCUCGGCUGGACAGUUAACGGACCUCUGGGAGGAAAAGGUGAUUAUGCUCAGGAGCAGUCAGAAAUCAUUAACAGGAUAUCAGUUGUUACACUUGAUGAGCAAUGGGAGCAGCAGUUCAAGAUUGACUUUCCUGAGUGUGUCAAAGAUGACCAAGAACCUUCAAAAGAAGAUCAGCAGUUCUUGGAUUUGGUAUCAACAUCUGCAAAGCUAGUUAAUGGACAUUACGGCUUUGGUUUACCAUUGAAGGACAGGGAAAUCUGCUUGCCUGACAAUAAGAACUGCGCUGAGCAGAGGACACUAAACUUAAAAAGGCGUUUCCAGAGAGAUCCAUGCUAUCACUUGGAGUACACCAACUUCAUGUCUGACAUGAUAUCCAAGGGCUAUGCAGAGAAAGUACCAGAAGGAAUCUUGGAACGUAGUGAUUGCAGAAAAUGGUAUCUACCACACCAUGGAGUUUUGCAUCCACAAAAGAAAAAACUUAGAGUGGUGUUCGACUGUGGAGCAACAUAUCAGGGAGUUUCACUGAACUCUCAGCUCUUACAGGGACCAGACCUCACCAGCACCUUGAUUGGAGUCAUAGCUAGAUUCCGUAAAGAACUUGUUGUCAUCGCUGCGGAUAUCGAAGCAAUGUUCCUCCAAGUACAAGUACCAAAUGAAGAUCGGGACCUGCUACGGUUCGUCUGGUGGCCUGAUGGAGAUUACAGUCAGAACAUGGUGGAAUACAGAAUGACGGUGCAUUUAUUUGAAGCAACAUCAUCUCCAAGUUGUGCAAAUUUUGCCCUGAGAAAAUGUGCUGAAGACAACACUGGCCAGUUCAGCCCACAAGCUAUCAACACCAUCUUGAACAACUUUUAUGUGGAUGACUGCCUCGCUUCAGCAGCUUCAGAAGAGGACGCAAUAGCUCUUUAUCACGAGUUAAGAGCCAUUUGCUUCAAGGGAGGCUUUGUACUCACCAAGUGGAUAAGCAAUAGUCGUCAUGUAUUGGCUGCCAUACCUGAAACGGAAAGAGCAAAAGAAAUGAAGGAUCUGGAAUUGGACCAUGACAAACUACCUGUUGAGAGGAUGUUAGGUGUACAAUGGUGUGUUCAGUCUGACGUCUUCAAGUUCAAAAUCAUCCUCAAAGACAGACCACUCACAAGACGGGGGAUUUUGUCGACUGUCAGUUCUGUAUAUGAUCCCCUUGGAAUGUUGGCACCAGUAGUCCUGACUGCAAAAAGGAUCCUACAGGAAUUGUGUCGGGAAAAGACUGGUUGGGAUGAUGUGAUACCAGACUCUAGUGUGAAAGAAUGGAUGAGCUGGAUUCAGGAACUCCAUAACCUGGAAGACUUCAAAGUCAACAGAUGCUUCAAACCUACAAACUUCGGAGCGAUAACAUCUGCCCAGCUACACCAUUUUGCUGAUGCAUGUCAGGAUGGUUAUGGAACUGUGAGUUAUUUGUUAAUGCAUAACAACCAUGGCCAAACGCAUUGUGCAUUUGUGAUGGGAAAGGCCAGAGUGGCUCCUUUGAAGCCAGUCACUAUCCCUCGCAUGGAGUUGACUGCUGCUACCAUGGCGAGCAGAAUGGACACAAUAUUGAGGAAAGAGCUGCAGAUGGAACUAGCAGAAUCUACAUUUUGGACUGAUAGCACCUCUGUGCUCAAGUACAUAAAGAACAGGACCACACGAUUUCGAACAUUCGUGGCUAACAGAGUGACUGAAAUUGCCAAAGCCUCAGAUGAACAUCAGUGGAGGUACGUCAACACAAAUGACAAUCCAGCAGACAUGGCUUCCAGAGGUCUGAAAAUCAAAGCUUUCCUAAAGAAGAAAAUGUGGGUGUACGGACCUCCGUUUCUUCAUGGUCCUCAGGAAGAGUGGCCUCAGAACCCUGAUGGAUUGGAUGCAAUUUCACCGAAGGACUCUGAAGUCAAGAGCAUAACCGUAAAUGCUGCUCAAAUAAGACCUGAAGCAGUGGAUCCAACAACCAACUUCAUCCAUUACUUCUCAUCCUGGAAUCAGUUGAAAAGGGCAGUAGCAUGGAUGCUCAGAAUCAAAGGAGUGCUUCUGCAACGAAUCAGGAAGAGGAAAACAGCAAGCGGUGUUCUCUCUUUGCAAGGAAAUCUUGACACUCAGGAAAUCCGUCUCACAAUCGGCGAAUUGGAGAGUGCAGAGAUGGAGAUAAUCCGCUUCUGCCAAAAGAAGAGAUUUGGAGAUUAAAUCUCAAAUCUGAAAAAGGAAAUGAAUGUUAAAAGGACAAGCCACAUUCAUAUACUCAACCCCAUUCUGGACAAAGAUGUGUUAAGAGUUGGUGGUCGCCUAAGCAGAGCAGCAAUGCCAGAAGAAAUGAAACAUCCUGUCAUUCUGUCCAAAGACUUUCACAUUGCUGACCUCCUUCUACGACACAUUCAUGGAGAGGUGGGACAUGGUGGUCGCAACCAUAUGCUAUCCAGACUGCGUCAGAAAUAUUGGAUUCCUGGUGCCACAGUAUUGAUCAGGAAAAUCCUGUCUAAAUGUGUUGUCUGUCGGCGUAUAAAUGCUAUUCCUGGACAACAGCAGAUGGCUGAUCUACCCCUGGAUAGAGUCUCUCCAGAUGAACCACCAUUCACAAACGUUGGAGUCGAUUACUUUGGACCCUUUGGAGUAGGGAUGGGCAUAAUUAAUCGAUGCUCGAUAGUUGAUCGUUAAGAAAUGCGUCGAUCAAUUUAUAUUGUUAUCGAUCAAAAGGACGGAGAAAUAACAUAUCUAACCACCAAGGCGCGAUGUUUUAUUAUUUCUAAUGACAAAGACGGAACAGCCAAAUGAGCGGCAGUUGACUUGUGACGCAGCUCAUUUGGAAACUUGCCAGCAAAGCAAGAUUAGCCUAAACAUGAAGCGGUCCAAGCGAAGUGUUGCGUGGGACCACUUCGAUUUAAAAAACGGAGACAUUCACUGUACACACUGUGAUGCCGUGUACAAGUAUAAUUCCGCGAUGACUACUAUGAUGUAUCACUUGAAAAACGCACAUCCGACCUUGUUGGCCGGCAGUUCAUCCUCCUCUCAACCUACCAUCACCUCGGUACUAGCUAGGAGGAGCUGCGACUCACAGCGGGCAGAUAAAAUUACUAAAGGAAUCUGCAAGUUCAUUCAGACAGACAUGCUGCCUAUAAGUGUAGUUGAAGGCAAAGGUUUUGGGAAUCUGAUGGAUAUAAUGGAACCAGCCUAUCACAUUCCAUCACGGCGCACAGUCACCAGACUCAUUGAAACGCAGUAUGAAGAAAGAAAAGAGGAGUUGUUUAAAAAGUUGGCCACAGCUGAGAGUGUUGCUCUCACGACAGACUGCUGGACAGCUUUAACAGCUGAGAGCUAUAUUACCAUCACUUGCCACUACAUCAGCGAUGACUGGGAAAUGAACUCGGCUGUCCUGUUAACAGAAAGCCUUCCAGGCCGUCACACAGCCGACUGUCUCGCGGAGAAAUUGAAUGGGGCUGUGGAGCAGUGGGGAAUUGAAGGCCGAGUAAUCGCCUGCGUACAUGAUAACGCGGCCAAUAUAGUCGCUGCUAACCGUCCAACCAGAGUCAGCUGGGUUUCCGUUGCCUGCUUUGCCCACACCCUCCAGCUGGCCAUAAAUGACGACUUUGCACUUUACCUGAAUCGGGUAAUCUCCGCGGCUGGCAAACUGGUUGGUCACUUUAACCACAGCACAGUUGCCAGCAAAGCGCUGCAAAAAAAACAAGAACAAAUGGCCCUCCCAAGCCACCGGCUUAUUCAAUCAUGUAAAACACGUUGGAACUCGGUCUGUGAAAUGUUCGAUCGGCUGGUGGAGCAACGGUGGGCUGUUGCUUCUGUCCUGUCGGACCGCACCGUGACCAAGCUCCAGGACGCCAGAAUCCUGGAGCUGAAAGAUGAGCAUUGGCAGCUGAUGGAGGAAAUGCAGCCUGUGCUGAGAGCACUAAAGUGUGCCACCACCGUCAUGUCUGCGGAGAAGGACGUCUCCAUCUCCAACACUUAUCCCAUCACCUUCGGACUCAUCAAUGCCCAUCUGAUGCGCAAGGAAGGAGACGGGCCCAAGGUUAUCGAGUUCAAAACUGAAGUGCGGUCUUCCCUCAGCACCCGAAUGAAUGUUCAGUCUGCUGAAUUUGUAUCAUCGGCCCCCAUGCUUUCAGCAAUGCUGGACCCUCGUCACAAGCAUCUGAGCUUUCUGACACCUGCACAGACAGUAGUUGCUAAUGCGAAAUUAGUUGAACUGGGAGAGGCAGUGGAGACAGGCCAGGAGGCUAUCGAGCAGGCUGGGGGGCACGCGGACGAAGGGAGCGCAAACACUGGAGCGGCCGCAGCCGCCACACAGGCAUCCGCUAUGGCACUUCUCCUCGGGGAGCAGUACUCCAUUAUACUGGACACUGGCAUUGACACAGAGGUUAAGAACUUUCUGAAGGAUACCCCCCCACCCCUGGAUUGCAACCCUGCCGACUGGUGGAAAGUGAAUGGGAGAAGGUUCCCCAGGCUGUCAAAGUUAGCGCGACAGUACCUCUGCAUCCCCGCAACUUCGGUCCCGUCAGAGCGGGUGUUUUCUGCUGCUGGACUGACGGUUACAAGGCUGCGUUCGCGUCUGACCCCCGAGCAUGUUAACAUGCUUAUAUUCCUCAACAAAAAUAUGUAGGCUGGAGCACCGUAUGUGAGUCGCUCUUUUUUUUCUUAAUGUGUUCUUGGAGUCGUUACAUUUUGCCAAAACUGAUAUUUUAGCAACAAGUUCAGGCUUAUAUGUUCAAUAAGGUAUUGCUUUUAGAUAGAUGCAAUUGUUUGUAAAUGGGUGGCUCAUCUUUUUGUUGCGAGCCUUUUCCGCGCGCCGGCUGCAGCCUAUAGGCAUUAUAUGUCUGCCUUUUUUCCCCCCUUUUUUUCCUUCAAGUUAACUAUUGUAUUAAUGUUGGCCCAUACAUUAUUGUUGGAAUAAA